UCCAGACUCCUACGGGAGGCAGCAGUGGGGGAUAUUGCACAAUGGGGGAAACCCUGAUGCAGCGACGCCGCGUGAGGGAAGACGGUUUUCGGAUUGUAAACCUCUGUCUUUGGGGACGAAUUGAGACGGUACCCAAGGAGGAAGCUCCGGCUAACUACGUGCCAGCAGCCGCGGUAAUACGUAGGUGACAAGCGUUGUCCGGAUUUACUGGGUGUAAAGGGCGCGUAGGCGGACUGUCAAGUCAGUCGUGAAAUACCGAAGCUUAACUUCGGGGCUGCGAUUGAAACUGACAGCCUUGAGUAUCGGAGAGGCAAUCGGAAUUCCGUGUGUAGCGGUGAAAUGCGUAGAUAUACGGAGGAACACCAGUGGCGAAGGCGGAUUGCUGGACAGUAACUGACGCUGAGGCGCGAAAGCGUGGGGAGCAAACAGGAUUAGAUACCCCAGUA
rnacentral:rRNA from 1 species